GACGAGCGGCGGACGGGUGAGUAAUACUUGGGAACUUGCCUCUUGGCGGGGGACAACCCCUGGAAACGGUGGCUAAUACCGCAUAAUGUCUACGGACCAAAGUGGGGGACCUUCUGGCCUCGCACCUAUAGAUGGGCCCACGUGGGAUUAGCUAGUUGGUGAGGUAAAGGCUCACCAAGGCGACGAUCCCUAGCUGUUCUGAGAGGAUGAUCAGCCACACUGGGACUGAGACACGGCCCAGGACUCCUACGGGAGGCAGCAGUGGGGAAUAUUGCACAAAUGGGCGCAAGCCUGAUGCCAGCCAUGCCGCGUGUGUGAAGAAGGCCUUCGGGUUGUAAAGCACUUUCAGUGGUGAGGAAGGUCAUUAAGUUAAUAGCUUGCUGAAUUGACGUUAGCCUGAGAAGAAGCACCGGCUAACUCUCGUGCCAGCAGCCGCGGUAAUACGGAGGGUGCAAGCGUUAAUCGGAAUUACUGGGCGUAAAGCGUAGCGUAGGCGGUGUGUUAAGCUCAGGAUGUGAAAGCCCCGGGCUCAACCUGUGGAAUUGCAUUUCUGAUACUGGCACGCUAGA
rnacentral:rRNA from 1 species